GCGGUAGUAGUGUAACCUGGUUAACAUAAAAGCCUGUGGAGCUUUUGAUUCGGGUUCAAAUCCCGGCUACCGCC
rnacentral:tRNA from 1 species